CCUACGGGAGGCUGCAGUGAGGAAUAUUGGUCAAUGGACGAGAGUCUGAACCAGCCAAGUAGCGUGAAGGAUGACUGCCCUAUGGGUUGUAAACUUCUUUUAUAUGGGAAUAAAAUGUUCCACGUGUGGGAUUUUGUAUGUACCAUAUGAAUAAGGAUCGGCUACCUCCGUGCCAGCAGCCGCGGUAAUACGUAGGAUCCGAGCGUUAUCCGGAUUUAUUGGGUUUAAAGGGAGCGUAGGUGGAUUGUUAAGUCAGUUGUGAAAGUUUGCGGCUCAACCGUAAAAUUGCAGUUGAAACUGGCAGUCUUGAGUACAGUAGAGGUGGGCGGAAUUCGUGGUGUAGCGGUGAAAUGCUUAGAUAUCACGAAGAACUCCGAUUGCGAAGGCAGUUCACUGGACUGCAACUGACACUGAGGCUCGAAAGUGUGGGUAUCAAACAGGAUUAGAUACCCUUGUAGUC
rnacentral:rRNA from 1 species